AUAAAAUGAUGAGAGCAAUUAGUCUGUGUUUCUGAAACACAUGUUAUUUGUGGAAAUUCCAAUUGG
ensembl:snoRNA SNORD18 Small nucleolar RNA SNORD18